AUACGUAGGGGGCGGGCGUUGUCCGGAAUGAUUGGGUGUAAAGGGCGCGUAGGCGGCCGCUUAAGUCUGGAGUGAAAGUCCUGUUUUCAAGAUGGGAAUUGCUUUGGAUACUGGGGGGCUUGAGUGCAGGAGAGGUUAUCGGAAUUCCCGGUGUAGCGGUGAAAUGCGUAGAGAUCGGGAGGAACACCAGUGGCGAAGGCGGGUAACUGGACUGCAACUGACGCUGAGGCGCGAAAGUGUGGGGAGCAAACAGGAUUAGAUACCCUGGUAGUCCACACUGUAAACGAUGAAUGCUAGGUGUAAGAGGUAUCGACCCCUUUUGUGCCGGAGUCAACACAAUAAGCAUUCCGCCUGGGGAGUACGGCCGCAAGGUUGAAACUCAAAUGAAUUGACGGGG
rnacentral:rRNA from 1 species